rnacentral:tRNA from 3 species
GUGUGCGUAAUUUAAAAAAAAUGCCAAGCUGUGACCUUGACAAUAGGAAGCACUCCUCACACACC